rnacentral:rRNA from 1 species
AACGAACGCUGGCGGCAGGCUUAACACAUGCAAGUCGAGCGCCCCGCAAGGGGAGCGGCAGACGGGUGAGUAACGCGUGGGAAUCUACCCAUCUCUACGGAUUAACGCAUGGAAACGGGUGCUAAUACCGUAUACGUCCUUCGGGAGAAGGAUUUAUCGGAGAUGGAUGAGCCCGCGUUGGAUUAGCUAGUUGGGGGGGUAAAGGCCUACCAAGGCGCCGAUCCAUAGCUGGUCUGAGAGGAUGAUCAGCCACGCUGGGACUGAGGCACGGCCCAGACUCCAACGGGAGGCAGCAGGGGGGAAGAUUGGACAAUGGGCGCAAGCCUGAUCCAGCCGUGCCGCGUGAGUGAUGAAGGCCCUAGGGUUGUAAAGCUCUUUCACCGGUGAAGAUAAUGACGGUAACCGGAGAAGAAGCCCCGGCUAACUUCAUGCCAGCCGCCGCGGUAAGAC